GUCAAGUGAAUAAGAGCACGUGGUGGAUGCCUUGGCAAUGAUAGGCGACGAAGGACGUGAUAGCCUGCGAUAAGCUUCGGGGAGCUGGCAAAUUAGCUUUGAUCCGGAGAUUUCCGAAUGGGGAAACCCACCCCUAGGGGUAUCGUGCGGUGAAUACAUAGCUGCACGAGGCGAACCGGGUGAACUGAAACAUCUCAGUAGCUCGAGGAAAAGACAUCAACCGAGAUUCCGAAAGUAGUGGCGAGCGAAAUCGGACUAGCCUGUGCGUUUUAGCACUCGAAUUAUCAGAACAGUUUGGAAAGGCUGACCAUAGCGGGUGAUAGUCCCGUAUGAAAAAAUUCGAGUGUGGAACUAAGCGUACGACAAGUAGGGCGGGACACGAGAAAUCCUGUCUGAAUAUGGGGGGACCAUCCUCCAAGGCUAAAUACUCAUCAUUGACCGAUAGCGAACUAGUACCGUGAGGGAAAGGCGAAAAGAACCCCGGGAGGGGAGUGAAAUAGAUCCUGAAACCGCAUGCAUACAAAAAGUCGGAGCUCGUAAGAGUGACGGCGUACCUUUUGUAUAAUGGGUCAGCGACUUACAUUCAGUGGCAAGGUUAACCGAAUAGGGAAGCCGUAGAGAAAUCGAGUCCGAAUAGGGCGAUCAGUCGCUGGGUGUAGACCCGAAACCAAGUGAUCUAUCCAUGGCCAGGAUGAAGGU
rnacentral:rRNA from 1 species